rnacentral:tRNA from 1 species
GGGCCGGUGGUCUAGCUCGGUAUGACGCUUGCUUGACGUGCAAGAGGUCGGGAGUUCAAAUCUCCCCCGGCCCA